ACAUGCGGAUAUUGAAUCACAUGGAAUUUAAACUAAAACGUGGAAAAUGCACCAAUUCAAAAUUCUCGUCUCAGGUCACAUUCAAAUUGAAACCGCCGUGGACCACCGUGCCGGAAAUCUCCUCCGACGGCGGUGGCCACUAGAAACAAAAAUUGAGCCCCUCAUUGGAUUUGUCUUCUCACCCACUUCCUAAAUCUUCAAUCAAAUUCUCAAAACUCUAAGCCUAUGUCAAAACCAUACUAGAUUCUACAAGAACCCUAAUAUCAAAUUCUUAAAUUAAACCUCACUUUCAAGGAAUUAGAGCCCAUGGGAUUGGGGCUCUGGUUAUCCUACUCUCCCUCUACAUCCUCAUAAUAAGGAAUUAGUGAAAAGGAGAAGCUUCGAGAUUUACCUUGCCGGAGGUGAUGAAAUUAUCAACGCCGGUGAGCUCUUAGCUUGUAAGAUCGAUGGUUGAGUUGUGCAAGUCAAUUACUUGGUCAUGGUGCAUCAGGUCUUAUGUUUGUUAGCAUUGACAUGUGGUGUACCCUAACUUUGUCUUGCCUUUUAUUUUCUUUUUUGAUGUGUUGCAUUGUAUACCACUUACUCUAAGUAUUACUAUUGGGUCUUGCACCUUUCUAAUGAUAAGCUAAGUCAUCUAGGAUGACCAUUUGGCAUUUGGCCAUGGCCAUUUAAAGGUUAGACUUUGAGUCUUAAAGUUGUACAUAACAUGUCCUCAUUCUUGUUUGCAUUUAGUUGUAUCUUAAUAUUAUUUGAAGUUCUCAUUUGUAUUGCAUUGAUAAACCAUGUUCCAAAGCAUGAGCUAUUGCAUUAUAAAUAGGAUUAAAUGCAUGUUAUGUCA